AACAAAACAUUUUAUGACAAUGUGAACUCCAAUUUUUACCAGAUCUGUGCUCACUGUAAUCUCAUAGCCUUUCUAAAAAGGGAAAAAUUUGCUGUUUUUAAGAUAGUAGUUAACACAGAGAAGAGAAAUAUUUUAAGUGACAUUCAUAGUGGAAUACAGUCUAAAAUUAAAAAACAGAUCCAAAGAAAUCUUGAAUUUUAUUCAAUGGUUCCAUUUUAGUAGUACCAUUAUUUUGAAACUGUAGAUACUGCCAGAUAAAACUAAUAAUUUAUAUUAAUGUUGUUAGCUAUUAUGAUUUCAGCCCAAAAUCAAAUCAGAAAAUCCUUUAACAUUAAAUCUGAACUGAAAUUCAUGAUUAUUAUUCUUAUAUAUAUUUUUUAAAUAGUGUUUCUGCUCACUAAAAAUGCAUGACUUGACAACUGGGGAACAAUGAGAACUCCUAAUGCCUAGGUUGUAGUCUCUAAAGACCACUUUUCACUAAAAGGAAUCAGGGCUUUUCCACUAGAAGCUUUCAGGGCUCUAUGAAGAAUGGAUGAUUUCAUAUAUAAAACCAGAAAUGAUCAAGAUGUGCAUAGGUCAUCUUGUGUCCCAGUAAGCAAGGAAGACAGCAAAGACUAAGGAAGUCUUGUUCAAUGCGCACAGAACCAGUGGGAAGGGACAGAGCUAAAGAUACAACAGUUAGACUAUCAACAAUAACUAGGACUGUUUGAACACACUGCAUACAUAAAAAUCCAUAUGUUCAAAACUAAAC
rnacentral:lncRNA from 1 species